rnacentral:rRNA from 1 species
GACGAACCGUCCAAACGUUAUUCGGAAUUACUGGGCUUAAAGGGUGCGUAGGCGGCGCGGAAAGUUGGGUGUGAAAUCCCUCGGCUCAACCGAGGAGCUGCGCCCAAAACUACCGUGCUCGAGGGAGAUAGAGGUGAGCGGAACUUAGGGUGGAGCGGUGAAAUGCGUUGAUAUCCUAAGGAACACCCGUGGCGAAAGCGGCUCACUGGGUCUCUUCUGACGCUGAGGCACGAAAGCUAGGGUAGCGAACGGG